GGGCCUGUAGCGUAACGGUUAUCGCGCUUCCAUGGCAUGGAAGAGAUUAGGGGUUCGAUUCCCCUCAGGUCCACCA
rnacentral:tRNA from 2 species